AUUGAACGCUGGCGGCAGGCUUAACACAUGCAAGUCGAGCGGGCGAGGUUGCUUCGGUAACUGAGCUAGCGGCGGACGGGUGAGUAAAGCUUAGGAAUCUGCCUAUUAGUGGGGGACAACAUUCCGAAAGGGAUGCUAAUACCGCAUACGUCCUACGGGAGAAAGCAGGGGAUCACUUGUGACCUUGCGCUAAUAGAUGAGCCUAAGUCGGAUUAGCUAGUUGGUGGGGUAAAGGCCUACCAAGGCGACGAUCUGUAGCGGGUCUGAGAGGAUGAUCCGCCACACUGGGACUGAGACACGGCCCAGACUCCUACGGGAGGCAGCAGUGGGGAAUAUUGGACAAUGGGGGGAACCCUGAUCCAGCCAUGCCGCGUGUGUGAAGAAGGCCUUUUGGUUGUAAAGCACUUUAUGCGAGGAGGAGGCUACCGAGAUUAAUACUCUUGGAUAGUGGACGUUACUCGCAGAAUAAGCACCGGCUAACUCUGUGCCAGCAGCCGCGGUAAGAC
rnacentral:rRNA from 1 species